rnacentral:rRNA from 1 species
UACGGAGGGUGCAAGCGUUGUCCGGAAUUAUUGGGCGUAAAGAGCUCGUAGGCGGUCUGUCGCGUCGGCUGUGAAAACUGGGGGCUCAACCCCAAGCCUGCAGUCGAUACGGGCAGACUAGAGUGCGGUAGGGGAGACUGGAAUUCCUGGUGUAGCGGUGAAAUGCGCAGAUAUCAGGAGGAACACCGGUGGCGAAGGCGGGUCUCUGGGCCGUAACUGACGCUGAGGAGCGAAAGCGUGGGGAGCAAACAGG